rnacentral:rRNA from 1 species
GAUGAACGCUGGCGGCGUGCCUAAUACAUGCAAGUCGAGCGAAUGGAUUAAGAGCUUGCUCUUAUGAAGUUAGCGGCGGACGGGUGAGUAACACGUGGGUAACCUGCCCAUAAGACUGGGAUAACUCCGGGAAACCGGGGCUAAUACCGGAUAACAUUUUGAACCGCAUGGUUCGAAAUUGAAAGGCGGCUUCGGCUGUCACUUAUGGAUGGACCCGCGUCGCAUUAGCUAGUUGGUGAGGUAACGGCUCACCAAGGCAACGAUGCGUAGCCGACCUGAGAGGGUCAUCGGCCCAACUGGGACUGAGACACGUCCCAGACUCCUACGGCAGGUAGCAGUAGGGAAUCUUCCGCAAUGGACGAAAGUCUGACGGAGCAACGCCGCGUGAGUGAUGAAGGCUUUCGGGUCGUAAAACUCUGUUGUUAGGGAAGAACAAGUGCUAGUUGAAUAAGCUGGCACCUUGACGGUACCGAACCAGAAGGCCACGGCUAACUACGUGCCAGCCGCCGCGGUAA